AACGAACGCUGGCGGCAGGCCUAACACAUGCAAGUCGAGCGAGAUCUUCGGGUCUAGCGGCGGACGGGUGAGUAACGCGUGGGAAUAUGCCCUUCUCUGCGGAAUAGCCUCGGGAAACUGAGCGUAAUACCGCAUACGCCCUUUGGGGGAAAGAUUUAUCGGAGAAGGAUUAGCCCGCGUUGGAUUAGGUAGUUGGUGGGGUAACGGCCUACCAAGCCGACGAUCCAUAGCUGGUUUGAGAGGAUGAUCAGCCACACUGGGACUGAGACACGGCCCAGACUCCUACGGGAGGCAGCAGUGGGGAAUCUUAGACAAUGGGGGCAACCCUGAUCUAGCCAUGCCGCGUGAGUGAUGAAGGCCUUAGGGUUGUAAAGCUCUUUCAGCUGGGAAGAUAAUGACGGUACCAGCAGAAGAAGCCCCGGCUAACUGCGUG
rnacentral:rRNA from 1 species